AAUUGAUUAUGACGUACUUGUACUGAUUGAGAUUUUAACACGAAGUGAGUGGCGAACGGGUGAGUAACACGUGGGUAACCUGCCCAGAAGUAGGGGAUAACACCUGGAAACAGAUGCUAAUACCGUAUAACAGAGAAAACCGCAUGGUUUUCUUUUAAAAGAUGGCUCUGCUAUCACUUCUGGAUGGACCCGCGGCGUAUUAGCUAGUUGGUGAGGUAAAGGCUCACCAAGGCAGUGAUACGUAGCCGACCUGAGAGGGUAAUCGGCCACAUUGGGACUGAGACACGGCCCAGACUCCUACGGGAGGCAGCAGUAGGGAAUCUUCCACAAUGGACGCAAGUCUGAUGGAGCAACGCCGCGUGAGUGAAGAAGGGUUUCGGCUCGUAAAGCUCUGUUGUUAAAGAAGAACGUGGGUAAGAGUAACUGUUUACCCAGUGACGGUAUUUAACCAGAAAGCCACGGCUAACUACGUGCCAGCAGCCGCGGUAAUACGUAGGUGGCAAGCGUUAUCCGGAUUUAUUGGGCGUAAAGCGAGCGCAGGCGGUCUUUUAAGUCUAAUGUGAAAGCCUUCGGCUCAACCGAAGAAGUGCAUUGGAAACUGGGAGACUUGAGUGCAGAAGAGGACAGUGGAACUCCAUGUGUUAAGC
rnacentral:rRNA from 1 species